rnacentral:rRNA from 1 species
CAAUAGCGUAUAUUAAAGUUGUUGCAGUUAAAAAGCUCGUAGUUGGAUUUCUGGUUGAAGCGACCGGUCGGGCGUUGAUUCGUCUGCACUGGAGUCGGUUUUGGCCAUCCUCUAGGAAAGUGCGUCUGGUAUUAAGUUAUCGGGCGUAUGAUCCUGGUCUUUUACUGUGAAAAAAUUAGAGUGUUUAAAGCAGGCCUUCGCCUUGAAUACAUUAGCAUGGAAUAAUAAGAUAGGACUUUGGUCUAUUUUGUUGGUUUGCAGACCGAAGUAAUGAUUAAUAGGGAUAGUUGGGGGUAUUUAUAUUCCGAGGUCAGAGGUGAAAUUCUUAGAUUUUCGGAAGAUAAACUUAUGCGAAAGCAUUUACCAAGGAUGUUUUCAUUAA